rnacentral:tRNA from 1 species
GGCCCCUUCGUCUAUCGGUUAGGACACCUGGUUUUCAUCCAGGCAAGGGCGGUCCGACUCCGCCAGGGGUCA